rnacentral:rRNA from 1 species
GUGGGGAAUAUUGGACAAUGGGCGAAAGCCUGAUCCAGCCAUGCCGCGUGUGUGAAGAAGGUCUUCGGAUUGUAAAGCACUUUAAGUUGGGAGGAAGGGCAGUAAGUUAAUACCUUGCUGUUUUGACGUUACCAACAGAAUAAGCACCGGCUAACUUCGUGCCAGCAGCCGCGGUAAUACGAAGGGUGCAAGCGUUAAUCGGAAUUACUGUGCGUAAAGCGCGCGUAGGUGGUUCAGCAAGUUGAAGGUGAAAUCCCCGGGCUCAACCUGGGAACUGCCUCCAAAACUACUGAGCUAGAGUACGGUAGAGGGUAGUGGAAUUUCCUGUGUAGCGGUGAAAUGCGUAGAUAUAGGAAGGAACACCAGUGGCGAAGGCGACUACCUGGACUGAUACUGACACUGAGGUGCGAAAGCGUGGGGAGCAAACAGGAUUAGAAACCCUAGUAGUCC